rnacentral:rRNA from 1 species
AGUGAACGCUGGCGGUAGGCCUAACACAUGCAAGUCGAACGGCAGCACAGUAAGAGCUUGCUCUUACGGGUGGCGAGUGGCGGACGGGUGAGGAAUACAUCGGAAUCUACUUUUUCGUGGGGGAUAACGUAGGGAAACUUACGCUAAUACCGCAUACGACCUACGGGUGAAAGCAGGGGAUCUUCGGACCUUGCGCGAUUGAAUGAGCCGAUGUCGGAGUAGCUAGUUGGCGGGGUAAAGGCCCACCAAGGCGACGAUCCGUAGCUGGUCUGAGAGGAUGAUCGGCCACACUGGAACUGGGACACGGUCCAGACUCCUACGGGAGGCAGCAGUGGGGUAUAUUGGACAGUAGGCGCAAGCCUGGUCCAGCCAUACCGCGUGGGUGAAGAAGGCCUUCGGGUUGUAAAGCCCUUUUGUUGGGAAAGAAAAGCAGCAGGUUAAUACCCCGCUGUUCUGACGGUACCCAAAAAAUAAGCACCGGCUAACUUCGUG